rnacentral:rRNA from 1 species
CUACGGGGGGCACCAGUGGGGAAUAUUGCACAAUGGGCGCAAGCCCGAUGCAGCCAUGCCGCGUGUAUGAAGAAGGCCUUCGGGUUGUAAAGUACUUUCAGCGGGGAGGAAGGGAGUAAAGUUAAUACCUUUGCUCAUUGACGUUACCCGCAGAAGAAGCACCGGCUAACUCCGUGCCAGCAGCCGCGGUAAUACGGAGGGUGCAAGCGUUAAUCGGAAUUACUGGGCGUAAAGCGCACGCAGGCGGUUUGUUAAGUCAGAUGUGAAAUCCCCGGGCUCAACCUGGGAACUGCAUCUGAUACUGGCAAGCUUGAGUCUCGUAGAGGGGGGUAGAAUUCCAGGUGUAGCGGUGAAAUGCGUAGAGAUCUGGAGGAAUACCGGUGGCGAAGGCGGCCCCCUGGACGAAGACUGACGCUCAGGUGCGUAAGCGUGGGGAGCAAACAGGAUUAGAUACCCCAGUAGUC